UUAUUUCCCCCGAGGGGUCAAUCCGUGAGUUCUUUCGCCCCAGGGGUCAUUUUUGUCAAUUUUGCCGAGAAGCGGCAAGACGCCGCGAAAGCUGUAGCAUGAUUUGUUGCACGAUCAGGUACGUUGUGUCGGGUGAUCCGACAAGUUAUUAUUAGUUGCAUCUAUCUAUUUAUAUCUAUACCUAUAUUAAUUAAAGACUUCCUAGAAAUUACCGUGUUAAUCAGUAAUUAGGAUCCAUUUGUCUAGAAAUCAUCACAUUAAUCAAUAAUUAGGAUCCACUUAUCCAGAAAUUAUCAUGUCAAUAUGUAAUUAGGAGCUGCUUAUCUAAUGAGACCAAGUUAUUAUGGUCCAAAUUAAUCCAUAUAUUUAGAAUUAGAAAUUUAAAGCUUAAUUAAAAAUUAGGAACUGCUCUUUUGGUGGGUCUGAAUUAUUAAGGUCCAAAUUAAUCCAUAUAUUGAGAAUCCCCAUUUUAAUCAAUGAAAAGAAUAUGUCAUGUCAAAUAUAACGAUCUCUUCCCGCGAAAGAAAAUCCUAAGAGGAUCUACAAUCAGACCUUUUAAACCCUCCUCAAACGCCCGGGCAGGCCGCCCGAUCACUCAUCGGUCAUGAAAAAGCAACCUAGACGGACCCCUCAACCGGCCUGAAACGUCUGGGCUGAUCAGCACCCCUCAUAUCCAGUCUACAUAUGGGAUGGAUAUGAGGGAGCCCGGGCUUGUCUGGGCAUGCCCACCUUGCCCGCAUUGGCCCGCUCAGGCCUGCAUCCACCCUACAUAUAUUCGUCCCCAUCCGUUCGUCGGACAAAUCCCUAGCCACUUCACUUCACUCCCAUCCGCCACCCAAACUAACCAUCGGGAUGGUGGUUAGCUGAUCUCAGUGCUUCACCUCCAGAUCCGUCGACCACAAGCUCGUCCCACGUGGCCCCAAGGAGGAGAUGGCCGUCCAGGUUGCGCUCCGCCACUCUCGGGAGGUGGCCGCACGACGGCAGCGCUCGGACUUGCAACGCCGGAAAUCUAUUGCGUCCGCACAAUCGGUGUUUGGAUCCGGCAUCGCUGCCUCAUCAGUGAUGGUGCGGUCGGUUUUGCGUCUGAACACCAUGGCGGAAGCGAAACCCUCCGUUGGCGCUCCGAGCACGAAGCAUGGCCGUCCUCGAAUGAUGUAAUGGCGCGGUGUGCCCGUCGGGCGAGGCAGGGGGCACGUGAUGUGGUGGAGGCCCUCGCGGCGGUGGAUGUUGAAUAGGCGGAGUCGCACUCUCCGGCAACCAGUAGGGUGCACGAGUGUGGGCGACACAACCGCGUCGUGAUGGACGUCCACUCCUCCCAGGAAGGAUCCGUCAGCCACCUCAUGUUGACUGGCACCAUCCGGGUUACCGGCUCCGACGUGGAAGAGUAGGGCAUGGGAGACGGCGGGAGCUCGACUCACAUGAGACGGCUAUUGUCUCAUGUCCUACUCUACCUGGCCAGGGGCGCAGCCAGCCUUCGGGCAUGGACACGACGAAGCCGGGCGAGCUUCUUUAGUAUUAGGUUUACGUUGUAUGUAAUAGUAUGGAUUUGAGGUUUCUAAUUUAGAAUCUCCGGAUGUAGAAUGCAUUAUUUGAUACGUGACCGGUCAGUGUCCGUGGACGCGCUGGCUACUAAGCAUUCAUGCAUACUUAUGUUAAUUCUGCUGAGACAUACAAAUAAAUGAUGUAUCUUUGGAACCAAGCUGCUGGGUCGAUUACGUUGAAGGCUAGCCAGCUUUCAAUCGGCCGGAAAGUUGCCCACGCUAGGUUAAUAGAUUUCAUGCUGAUGCUUUGUACGGCAACAAAGUGCACCAGCACCAACAUUGGGAUGACGAGGCUUUGGGCUGCAGUUCGGUGUCGGCCAGGUGCGCGGGAGAGAUAAUACGCCAGCCCCAGUCACGGACAUGCUCUCAGUGCACUGCUAGCAGCCAUGCAUAUUCAGAAGUAGUGUUCAUCAUUACACACUAAAACCAAAUCUGUUGCUGGUGUGGCUACUUGAUUUCUCCAUCACAGCAAGAAGAGGGAGUGAACAAGUUUUCAAGUCAGAGUAGUGUUCAUCAUUACACACUAAAAUCAAAUCUGUUGCUGGUGUGGCUGCUUGAUUUCUCCAUCACAGCAAGAAGAGGGAGUGAACAAGUUUUCAAGUCAGUCUUGUAGAUACCGAUCAUCGGAGGGAAUUUGGAAUAUUUCUCUAUCACCACAUGGAGAAAUAUAAGUCAUUGCUAAUUGAAAAGGUGUAGGAAAAUUGAGUUUUCUUCUAUCUGUACCGCAUUAUCAGUCUAAGGCAAGCCGACAACGCGUCAUGGAGAAGCAAUUUUGUGGCCUUCAUUAAAUUUAAAGAAAGGUUCUUCUUUUUCUAGCUUACAAAUUUAAUCUCAUGCUGAAGGUGUGAACAGGUGUGUCCUGCUUACAAGUUUGUCUAAAGAAUAGUGGUAUCUAAUGUAUUAGCCCUCCAUAGCAAGCUUGUUUCCUUUUCGAUUUUUGUGGUUUACACGGCUAUGUCUAUGUUUGUCUCAAGGGCUGAGUGACUGAGUUUUGUGAGCAUGUGCACAUGGGUGCAGAAGGUG